rnacentral:rRNA from 1 species
UACGAAGGGGGCUAGCGUUGUUCGGAUUUACUGGGCGUAAAGCGCACGUAGGCGGAUUGUUAAGUCAGGGGUGAAAUCCUGGAGCUCAACUCCAGAACUGCCUCUGAUACUGGCAAUCUUGAGUCCGGAAGAGGUGAGUGGAACUCCUAGUGUAGAGGUGGAAUUCGUAGAUAUUAGGAAGAACACCAGUGGCGAAGGCGGCUCACUGGUCCGGUACUGACGCUGAGGUGCGAAAGCGUGGGGAGCAAACAGG